CACAGAAUCAUCAAAAUGGUCCGUACUUUCUCUUUGGGGACCCCAUCUCUCUAUAUAAUUUUCCUGGGUGUGCCCAGGGAAAAUGCGUCCUGGCAGCCCAGCUGAUUGGCUGGCCAGCGGAGGCGCCUGAUUGGCUAAGGCGCACCCAGGAGAAUUGGCUGGCCGGGUGGCCGCUGAGGCAAGGGUCGUGCGCAGCGGCAGUAGUGGACCAGGCUGCGGCAGCAGGCCGAGCCGCGGCAGCGGCGGGAGAAUUGGCUGGCUGGGCAGCCACGGGCCCAGCAUGGCGGAAGUAGUGGGCCAGGUGGCGGGUCCGGCCCAGCCACUGAGGCCAGGAGGCGGCGGCGGGCCUGGAUGCCAGGCGGCAGCGGGCCUGGCCGCAGCGGCAGCACUCAGCCGGAGACUGGGGUGCGGGGAGAGAGGCGGCGGAUCCGGCCCAGCGCGGAGGCAAGAAGCUGCAGGCUUGUGUUUUGCUGCAGAAAAGGGAAACAAUAACAAGUCCAACUUUUCAUGGUCCACGUCAAACAUGACCUCAUGCAAAUCAAUCACGAAAGUCUCCAAAGUAAUUGUGUGGACAAGACAGGAAGACCCAGAAGAUGGGCAGCCAUUAUUGGAACAGUUCUAGCAAUAUGGAGACAAAUUUAUAUAAAUAUAUAUUGUAACUUGGAUUAUGUACACCGCCUAGAGAGAUAUAUCAGGCCGUUAUGGAAUAUUAUAAAUAAAUUAUAAAUAAAUAACUAUUAGAAAAUGGA